GAGCACGUAGGUGGGUUUGUAAGUCGGAUGUGAAAGCCUUCUGUUCAACGGGAGAAUUGCAUCUGAAACUGCUAAUCUUGAGUAUAGGAGGGGAGAAUGGAACUUCUGGUGGAGCGGUGAAAUGCGUAGAUAUCAGAAGGAACGCCGGCGGCGAAAGCGAUUCUCUGGCCUAUUACUGACACUCAGUGUGCGAAAGCUAGGGGAGCAAACGGGAUUAGAUACCCCGGUAGUCCUAGCCGUAAACGAUGGGCACUAAGUAGAGGGGAUUACCUAUGUUCUCUCUGCCGUAGCUAACGCAUUAAGUGCCCCGCCUGGGGAGUACGGCCGCAAGGCUAAAACCCAAAAGAAUUGACGGGGGCUCGCACAAGCGGUGGAGCAUGUGGCUUAAUUCGAUGCAACGCGAAAAACCUUACCGGGGCUUGACAUGAUAGAAGUAGGAACCUGAAAGGGGGACGAACGGUAUCCAGUCCGUAGCUAUUACAGGUGUUGCAUGGCUGUCGUCAGCUCGUGUCGUGAGACGUUGGGUUAAGUCCCCUAACGAGCGAAACCCUUGUUUUUAGUUACCAGCGGGUUAUGCCGGGUACUCUAGAAAGACUGCCGUCGUCAAGACGGAGGAAGGUGGGGAUGACGUCAAGUCAUCAUGGCCCUUAUGCCCCGGGCUGCACACGUGCUACAAUGGUCGGUACAGACGGAAGCGAAGCCGAGAGGCGAAGCGAAUCC
rnacentral:rRNA from 1 species